rnacentral:misc_RNA from 1 species
GACGCCGAAGGUGGGGCUGAUGACUGGGGUGAAGUCGUAACAAGGUAGCCGUACCGGAAGGUGCGGCUGGAUCACCUCCUAACAGGGAGACAAAAACUGAUUAUGAUGUCUGAAUUUAUUUUUUAGGCCUUAAUCCUGUCACCUUAGGUCGAUCGGUACCUCAGAUUAAAAACUAUAAAAUUGAUUUAUCAUUUUUUUUUUUAAUUUCAGUUCCUAAACUUGUCUAGGUCACACCCAACAAACUUUCUCCUGGGCUAUUAGCUCAGGCGGUUAGAGCGCACCCCUGAUAAGGGUGAGGUCCCUGGUUCAAGUCCAGGAUGGCCCAUUCCGUUGUUGGGGGUAUAGCUCAGUUGGUAGAGCGCCUGCUUUGCAAGCAGGAUGUCAGCGGUUCGAGUCCGCUUACCUCCACUGAUCAACUACCUGAUAACUCAUUUUGGAGAUUGUUAUUUGGUUAAUGUGAUUUAGAUGUUGUUCAUCUGAAUGAACCUAGCUUCCUAUCACCCUUUGAAUUAAUACUUGGCUGAUAAGACGCUGGGCUCACUGAUAUUCGAUAGAGUAUUAGUUAGAUUCAGCAGAACCUUGACAACUGCAUAGGAAAGUCUAGAAAAAAUAAAGCAUCUCAUAGAUGCAUAGAAAACUGCUUAGGUAUGUUUUUUAUGUUCAAUUCUUGAGUUAGAGCAUAAUUUCUAUAUUUUUAAUGAGCUAUUUAUAGUUCAUUAACUAAUUUUAUUAGCAUGUAUAUAGGAAUUUAAUGGUCAAGCUACAA